rnacentral:rRNA from 1 species
UACGGGGGGGGCAAGCGUUGUUCGGAAUUACUGGGCGUAAAGGGCUCGUAGGUGGCCAACUAAGUCGGACGUGAAAUCCCUCGGCUUAACCGGGGAACUGCGUCCGAUACUGGUUGGCUUGAGUUUGGGAGAGGGAUGCGGAAUUCCAGGUGUAGCGGUGAAAUGCGUAGAUAUCUGGAGGAAUACCGGUGGCGAAGGCGGCAUCCUGGACCAUUACUGACGCUGAGGCACGAAAGCGUGGGGAGCAAACAGG